GAUGAACGCUGGCGGCGUGCCUAACACAUGCAAGUCGAACGGAAGGGCCCUGCUUUUGCGGGGUGCUCGAGUGGCGAACGGGUGAGAAACACGUGAGUAUCCCGCCCUUGACUUUGUGAUAACUUCAGGAAACUGGGGCUAAUACAGGAGAGGAGCUCCUGCAGCAUGGUGGGGGUUGGAAAGUUUCGGCGGUGGGGGAUGGACUCGCGGCUUAUCAGCUUGUUGGUGGAGUAGUGGCAUACCAAGUCUUCGACGGAUAGCCGGCCUGAGAGGGUGGCCAGCGACAUUGGGACUACGGUACGGACCAGUCGCGUACGGGAGGCAACGGGCGAAAGUCUUGCACAGCGAUGGCGAGCGUGUUACGACGGCGCCGCGAGCGUAAUGACGGCCUACGGGUUAUGAACCGCUUUCUCCUGAGACGAAGCGUGAGUGACGGUAAUGAGUAAAGAAGCACCGGCUAACUACGUG
rnacentral:rRNA from 1 species